rnacentral:lncRNA from 1 species
UGGCUUUGAUCCUUAGUAAGAUGGAAGGUGGGUAGGAGUACACUGAGUCUGACUUAGGAACAAAAAGCUGAAGCAGAAGUGCAGAAAUACUGAUCCUGAUUAACUUUUCCUCUUAAAGAAGUGCAUAGGUCUUUAUUAUAAUUAUAAUUAUAAUUAUUAUGAACAAAAGGGUUUUAAAAGAGUAAAGAUGAAAAAACUACAUCUCUAAUAAAAUGAAAUGAGAAUAAAAUGAAAUGAGGAGGUUGUCAUCUCAACCUCAUUUUCUGCAAUGCCAUAAACUCUGAUGUAAAAUAAUUAACAGAGCCCAAGGAAAAAAAAAUAGAGUCCUAUUUCUAAAUGCUCUGUAAGUAGCACAUAUAUAGAUAUUAGAUGGAAGCAGAUACAGCUAUAACUGCUAUUCUAAUAUGUUGCAACUCAUUCAUACUGAAAGGAACACCAUGAAAUUGUUGUAUAAUGAAUUUGGGUAAAAAUGGCUUUAUCUUGGGAAACACAGAUCCAUUUGUCCUGGACUUUAGUUAAUAUUCACAUUGUUUUGAUGAACUAAAUGACUUCAUAGUCCCAGGACGGCUGACCCCUAGCUAGGGCUGGGAAUUCCCAAACACCAGCCUUCCUGUUCCAGCCAGAAGAGAACUUCCUUUCACCAUCACAAGGUGAUCCAUCCCAUGGUUUUGUCCAAACUCACAGGACAGUUCAGCAACAAAGAUCUGUAUCUGAACUUCCAGAGUUUUGAAUGAGGGAAGAUAAUCAAAAGGAUCCACAUUUUUAACAUUAAGAGGGAACUUGAAGCAUUUUGAAAGGAAAGGAUUUCCAUGCAAUCAUCUCCUAUCAGCCCACUGAAGCCAUCUCUGAAUUUUUCUCCAUUUAGCAUGACCUAUUUCAUCAUAUCAGUGAAGAUCUGAAAGCACCCAGAGAAGCGUGUCAAGCUUUCUGUGCAUAAACUAAUCAAGUAAUGGUGAG